GAGAGUGGGAAACAGUCUCUGUUAUUUGGUUCCUUUGUUUUGUUAGACCUGUAGACAUAAAGUGUUUAAACUCUUAAUGCAGAAACCGAAAGUGCAGGGAGAAGACCGAGAGAAAGUAUAAAAUAAGAUAUCAAAAAAGGAGAAACCGGAAUAGAAAUCAAGCUCCAGAAAGCCGUCGGAAGUGGAAAUGCAGGGAGGCCUCAGGGCAUAUUAGAAAAGGAGUCAUGAUGGGACCAGAACGGCUGGAAAAGUCAGACAUAUACCCCCUUCCCGAGAAGGC
rnacentral:lncRNA from 1 species